CCACGACGCUGUCUGUGGACGGGGGUUUGAGUCCAAGUGGCAGCGGCAGCCAUGGCUUGGAUAGAACGUCCCCAAUGACUGCAUCUAUGCUCUCUGGAGACUGCCACGACAUUUUAAGACCGUGAAGUCAGAAACAUAAGCACUUACUUGAUGUGGGAAAGCUAUCGAGGAAACUAACAGCAUUUAGAAAAAGAGCCAAUGAACUGAUUCAGUCUACGCCUAUUUGGCAGCUACCAUGCUCUAUGACUAUAUUAAAAUUACUUUUGUACGAAUGUGACCGAAGUAAAGGGCUGAGAAAAAAAUCUCACCAGGUGAGAGUCCAUUAGUGGUUGAACCGGUUUUUGUCCAGUCAGGCCGACAGGGACACCAAUGCUUGGUGCCACUCUGUAUAUAGAAGAAGGUGGUAGUCCUGGGACUGGGGGAGUGACAAAUGUCUGCAUCAUUGUUUGGUCAAAUGGAAACAUAUCAUCAUUUAUGUGAAUCAACACUUUUGAAUCAGACAUGAAUGAGAAAACCACAGGGAUGCAACUGAAAAUCAAACAAAUGAGUAUGUUUUUGUAGUUACCGGUUGAGGAAAAUGUGAGGGAUAGCAAGGCAUUCCUUGUGCAGGAACCUACAUAUGGAGAAUGGAGCCAUUAGAAGAAGAAGAGUAAUCAUGCGACAGAACAAUAUAUAAGUGAUGAACUUACAUCUUGGUGGUGACAAUUCCAGAAAGAAGGGUCCCCAGUUAGAGGUGGUGCCGGAGAAUGUCCGGCACCCCAAGCAGGAGGAGAGGGUGAUGAGGCUGGAUAACCAGGCCACAUAUAAACUAACGAUUGGUUUGGUGAUGGAUGACCCCAAACAUGGAAGGGUCUAGAACGAGACACUGAUGUCACUGGAGGGAAUCCCGUGGCGGGUACAGCCCAAGAAUUUGCAUCACUCUUGCCUGUGCUCCCUGUGGUUCUGUAUAGCUGCCGCUUCCGGCUCCAUGUUGCUACCUCUGCUUCUCGAGCUAGCAAAUGUUUCCUAUGAGAUCGAUAUUUCUGCAUAUUAAGAGAAACUCAUUUGACUAAAAACUAUUGACUAUUAGCCUGAAAAAAGGUGACAAGAAUAGGAAAUUAGCGAACCUAGCUAGCAAGCUUGCCUAGGAAAAGGGAAAUUUGUAAACUAAAA